rnacentral:rRNA from 1 species
UAGCUCAACCUAGAAAAAAAUAGAAAGGUUGUUAAUGCCACGCAUGCCACAACCUGUCGUUGGUUCCCUUCCCUUCCCUCUGGCGUGCGUAACGGCCGCCGGCCAAUGAGGUGAACGGAGGAGGAGGUUAAGUUAGCCGCCGCUCCUGCUCCGCCUACGCGGAAGAGGCGGACGCGGAGGGCGACGGUCGCGAUGAGGGUUCGGGUUUAGGUUGUUGGUUUAGGAAGAAGAGUAAUAGGAGAACAACCGGUCCUCAGUGCGCGUGGUCGGGGUGGUCGGUGGUGUUCGUCUACAGCUGCUGGAGGAGGAGGCGCCGCCGGCAGCGGCUCCCGAGACGGCGGGCGGCGAAGACCUAGCGGCGGAGGAGCGCCCUCCGGCGGAAGCGGUGCAUGUGCGGGAAGGAGGAGAGGGAGCGGCGCCCCAGUGAGGCGGAGCUGAGGAAGGCGGUGAUGGAGCGCGUCCUGCGGGUGAAGGAGGUGCGGAAGCGUGCGCGGAUGCUCUACCGGCUCCUCACGCGGCUGCUGCUGCUACUGUUCCGGUGGUAGAGGCGGGAAGCCUUUCGGUAGCAGGCGCUCGAGUUGGAGGUGAGAAGGCAUGAGGUCCUCACCCCUCAACUAGGAUGGUUUCUCUAGGGAGGUUCGGGUCGUUGUUGGUUCAUGUGACUAAAGAAUGAACGUUGACGUCGACCUUUUCAACUACCACCCUUUCCAAGACUAUUUUACCGGUGUGGUAAGCUCUUCUGUUUUUAACGACGCAUGUGACAACCCCGCUACUGAGGCACGUACUCCGAAAUACGUAUAGAACCGUUUCUUGAGCCGCAAAAGGACUUUGUUCUACUUUUAGUGGGUAUGUUCUUUACCAAGCUAUGCAUACGUCGGUGACUGAAACUCUCAUUACGUGAGGUUUAUCUUCUCAACGAACUAUUUGAUUCACAGAGAAAUUGACCACUCCUCGAGCUCUAAUAACCCUUCGAGAUGGUUGUUCGAUACUCUGACCUCCAACUCAAAAAGAGACGAGUCUGGGAGCUUCUUGGACAACAUCGAGGUGAAAGUUCUAUAGCACUAGGGUUUCUGUUCGAGCACUAGAAAAGACUAAAACUAAACUGUACGUGACAACAACUAAGCAGACGGUAAAACCGCCUCUAACGCUAAAACAGUGUGGUUUUCCGAUCAGUCUCACCCAGACUAUUACAGGAACUGGCAUGUUUUAGUCGUCUGGACUCUUUAAGCACCUUAUACGAUAGAUUAGUCAUGUACCUUCUCGUACUCGUUACGUAUGUUUUCAAUGAAGGAGGUCUUCUUCGUUUCAGUCAUCUGAUGCUAGUUGAUAUGUUUCCAGAACUUCACGAUAGUCUUAAACUCUCUGUCCGUUUAAGAUCCCAAUAACUAAGGCCACAGAACUCCCCUUACUUGAAUCUACUAUAGUCUUUUCGGCCCCUCGCCGAAUAAGACGUUCUACCAACAGCUUUAAAGAAAUUCUUCUAACCUCUCUGUUCCCUCUUCCAGUUAAAUCUAUAGGUAUAAGAAAGGAUGACGACCACACGUCUCGAAUAAUCCAGUCGGAAAAGUAGUCAACCAACAGAACUACCUCAUUUGUAUGUAAGGUUGCUCAAAUGGAAACUCCCUAGACAAAGUUGACCAGUGUAGUUGUCUUUCUAUCUCAGAGGUGAUCUGUUUCAACUCUUCAAGUUUUAGUAGUUUUCACUGGACCUAUCAUAUUGUGGUAGCAACAGACAAAUAUAGCCCCUGAGUCAACCUCUAAACGAAACGAACAACCUUCGUCUACAACCGUAACAACAACCUAGUUCGUGUUGGAACGCCUCUCACCCGUUUGUCAAACCACAAAGAAAACGAGGUAACGAAGGACCAAACCAUCUCUUCGUUUCCGCCGAGACCUUCGUUCUUCGUAGGUAAAAGUUCCGCGCUAGACCUCAAGAAGUAUGCCAAAGAUCGACCAGUCUCCAUGUCCGGAAGUAAGACCCUUUACUAAGGUCGACUAACAACGACCGACGGGAACAGUGAGAGAAAAGGAAACGGUUUUUCUGACCAUGGUCGAGUACGUUUAGUCUGCACUUUAGGGGCAACACCGGUAAAAUACUUUCGGUGUAACGAUAAGUGGAGGAUAUACUCAUCGGACACAGGACUUUACCAAAUCAAACAUACUAGUUACACAGUAACUAAUGUGAACUCAACAGAAAGGUAAACCCUAGUAAAGAAUAUUAGCGCCCUCACCAAGGACAUGACCGUAGCGAUGUCUUGUCACCAUAUGACAGAGGUCCACAAAGGGUCCACGUUCGUAUCUCGACAAAAACCGUUACUUUAAACUCUAACGAUAUACAAACAAACAAACUGAUAUAUAGGAAUAGGACCCUGACUAGUAUCGACUCUACUAACCUCCGUCUUGUAAGUUCUACAUUUUAGUGCGUAUCCUACUAUUUGUUUUAUGAGGGAGACGAAGCUUCAUUUAUAUUAACUACAAAACCGUAGCCAGCCAGAAAGGUUUCAUUAAUAUUAAUUACAAAACCGUAGCCAGCCAAAAAGGUUUCAUUAAUAUUAACUACAAAACCGUAGCUAGUACAAAAAGUUUUAUUCACUGUAGAACACUACUCCUGAAUGUGGGUGUCGGGGACGACGAUAUGUAUGACCUGGUUAAUGAGCGCGUGCGGUUAAUUUAAUAGUCCAUAAAAACAAAGAACCAUUACAAGUACUCUUAUACUACAACGGAUUUAACCUAUGUAACCAAAACGAAUGUUUACUUCUCGGACCGUACCUAUUCUCCCUACUUGUGACCUCGUUCUGGUUCGUACCUCUACUACCGUACGCGUUCCUCUUGUUCUUGCCUCAAUGUUCACUACUAAAGUCCUGAAACUUCGGUGGUAUUCCUCACGUUCUUCGGAACCUGCUUUAUAUGUUCUAUGGUGAAGUAUUUAAAACAGGUCUCCGAUAAGAUCUACGACGCAGUGGAAUAAUAACCCGGUCCGGAUACAUUAAAGCUUUAUGAAUUCAUAUCCGACAAAAAUCUCAGGCAUACACACCCUUUUGUUCUCAAUCCCAACCAAAGCCUGGGGUGGAGGUUCCCGGUGCUUAGGGGGGAGAAGGAGGUAUAUAUGUUGGGAAUCCCGCAGCAAAUCUGAAACUCAAAACAAAUCUAAUUUCAAACGGUAUCAACGUUGAAGCACAUGAAACAAACACAAGUUGCUGGUCUUUUUCCGCAGUGUCUUGGGGUG